rnacentral:rRNA from 1 species
CCGGCAGCUCGUAGUGGUAGCAAUUUUAUUGGGCCUAAAGCGUCCGUAGCCGGUUAAUAAGUCUCUGGUGAAAUCCGUGCAGCUUAACUGUGGGAAUUGCUGGAGGUACUAUUAGACUUGAGACCGGGAGAGGUUAGAGGUACUCCCAGGGUAGAGGUGAAAUUCUGUAAUCCUGGGAGGACCGCCUGUUGCGAAGGCGUCUAACUGGAACGGUUCUGACGGUGAGGGACGAAAGUUAGGGGCGCGAACCGGAUUAGAUACCCGGGUAGUCCUAACUGUAAACGAUGCGGACUUGGUGUUGGGGUGGCUUUGAGCUGCUUCAGUGCCGAAGGGAAGCUGUUAAGUCCGCCGCCUGGGAAGUACGGUCGCAAGACUGAAACUUAAAGGAAUUGGCGGGGAGCACCACAACGCGUGGAGCCUGCGGUUUUAAAUUGGAUUCAACGCCGGACAUCUCACCAGAGGCGACAGCUGUAUGAUAGCCGGGUUGAUGACUUUGCUUGACUAGCUGAGAAGUGGUGCAUGG